AAGGAAACGAACUCUAAUCUUACGAACUAAGAGGGAUACCUCAUAAUUCCCACAAUAGUGAUAUGGAUGAACAAACCCUAAGUUUUACGCCCAUCUCCUACUGUGGAAGUAUGAGGAUACCCGCACCAACACCACCCUAAGCCAAGGUGUCGAGGUACCCGUGCCGAGGGCUAAAUGGUCAGCGGGGGGUAAUAAAUAGCUGAUCGCGAACAGUCCCCUCCGAUGCCCGGGCGAGAUCGGAGAUAUAAAAGCCUUCUCUCCGCAUACCGGCUCUGCGGACGAGUUACCAAUCCUUUCCGGCUUACUCGUGGGACCAAAAUAAACGAAAAUAAAUACCCCAACAACAACAACAACCAAAUUGACGACAACAGCGACGACUAAGGACACGAAUUACGGGAAUCCCAUAACGGAAUCCGAAGACGAAUUACUCGUCUCCUGGCUGCAGAGUACUGCCGGGCAUACCAACAAAAAUAUACCGAUAGAUACAGCAGUGAAAACAGCAGAUUUAAGGGAGGAAGCGUCCACCUCCAAAGCUGCCAUGAGCACCAACCAAAGUGCACUAGCGGCUAAAGGAGAAAACAAAAAUAAGCGCAAGAAAUCCCAGAAUCAGCUGAGGAAAACCCUGUACCAGAGGGCAGUCUUCAUACUAAGGACGAUAGGCAAAGACUAGCAACCGGUACGCCAGUUGAUGAGGCAGAAACAAAGCGCCUCAAAACAAUAGUAGAGGAAUAUGAAAGCUCCCCAACAAGGAAGCAAUCAGAACCUAUUCAAGAGAGCACUUCACAAAAAAGGAAUCGCUCUAUCACAGAAAUACCAGAAACGCUGCCCAAAAAACCUAGGCGGAGCAAGGCGUUUCUGCGAUGUAGCCAGGGAUAGCCUGCACGUGGCCAUCAUAGAUGGGAAUUCCUCUUCACCGAGCACUAUACAGGAAAUAUGGGUGGAGAUCGACGUCAGAUUGUCGAGUAUGGUGCUAAGCUUUGUACUCGACAAUCCUGCGGGUCCUCACCCGGGGUUUGACUCCCCUGAGACCCUCAGGGGCUACAGGGUCAUCAAGUGCGCGGACUAGGCCUCGCUAGUUUUCCUGACGGGUAGUGUUGCUAAAAUCAGCAACGCCUUUGUAGGCCUCCAAUUGAGGCUUAUACCCGCCAGGGAAAUUCCGAAGAGACCUCAUGCUCGCAUUUGGUUACCCCCUCUAGAGGAGCCAGGCGAAAAACUCCUGAGGUGCACCAAGCUGCAAAACAAAUCUAUACCUGGUAUAGAUGAGUGUCAGCGGAUCAAGGAGGAAAAAGCAAACAAAUCAAGCAGACCAAUACUAGUGGCCAUAUGCGAUGAGUCCAUUGAGGCGCUCAAGAAGACUGACUACAAAAUCAGCUUCGGAAUUCGCAAGGCCGACUAAAAAUCUUCCAAGGCGACAUAGCGGCUGACGAAGACGACACGGAAGAGGCUAAGGAAUGUAGGCAUCGAAGAAACCCGAGAUGCCCUAUAACUGAAGAUGCGUGCAGAUAAACCUGCAGCACUCGAAGAGUGCUACAGCGAAUCUGACAACCUUCAUAAACGAGGGGGGCAUAGACAUCAGCCUAGUACAGGAGCCCUGGGUCAAUGUAGGCACCAUUAAACUAUAACCUUUUUUACACACGGAACAAAGCACAGCAGAUAUCACAGUGGUAAAGGUGGAACAGAAGGAAAAGCCCUUCUUCUUGGUCUCGGCCUACUUGGUCCAUGACGAAGACAUACCACCGGCCCCGCUCACCAGACUAGUAGAGGACAACAGGAAGGAAGAUGUCCUAAUAGGGUGUGAUGCUUACGCUAGGCACACCGUAUGGGGUAGCUCAAGUAUAAACACCAGACGUGAAUCACUCUUGCAGUAUAUUCUGAAAAGUAAUCUAUAUAAUAAUAUGCAACAAGGGCGAUAAGCCAACCUUUAUUUUCCCAAGCUCUGAUAGGUUUCCGGGGUGGGAGGAAGUGCUGGACCUUACGCUAUCAUCAGACACAGACAGUCUCGUUGUGGAUAACUGGAGGGUAUCCGAUGAGCCUUCCAUGUCGGAUCACUCUUGGAUACUCUUCAACAUUCGCGAGAAAUACAGUGCUCCUCUCACAUAUCGGAACCCUAGAAGAACAGCGGAGGAUGGAGUCAUGUGUAGAAGUUCACCCAAGUGAGGAAAGUUCUCUGAUCGCCAUUCACUUGGGAGUGGCCAGAAACGAUUCUUUUACAUAUGACUCAAGCAGCUCACUACUUCCGGUCUUUGACCAAGUAUCCUCUGGGUAGCCUAAGAACAUCCGUUUGAAGGCGAGCUAAAGUGAGAAGGCGAAAUAUCCCCUACAUAGGGUUGUGCGCUGGGUUUGGGACCCGCUACGUAAAAAAAACAACCCCAAUGAACAGUAACAACCAGCCUCGGAUGAGAGGCCCCCGUUUGAUGACGACCAUGGCAAACGAAAUAAGGACUACGAUUUAAGGGCAUGCACCUGCAAUGUCCGGUCCCUUAAUUGGGAAGGUGCCGCUGCCCAGCUGGUUGAUGUCCUCGUGAAAAUAAAGGCUGACAUCACCGCCGUCCAAGAAAUGCGAUGGACGGGACAAGGACAGAAACCAGUAGGUCCUUGUGACAUUUACUACAGUGGCCAUAUAAAGGAGCGCAAGUUUGUUGUGAGAUUCGUGGAGGGAGAGAGACUUCGUCGCCGAGUACUAUCAUUCACUUCGGUGAAUGAACGUCUAGCCACAAUCCGAAUCAAAGCGAGGUUCUUCAACAUAUCGCUGAUUUGCGCCCACGCCCCGAAGGAAGAGAAGGACGAUGUGACCAAAGAUGCCUUUUAUGAGUGCUUGGAGCGCGCUUAUGAGAGCUGCCCCCGCCACGAUGUCAAAAUCCUGCUUGGCGACUUUAACGCCAGGGUGGGCAAAGAAGGUAUAUUUGGCUCUACGGUCGGUAAAUUCAGCCUCCACGAUGAAACAUCCCCAAAUGCGUUGAGGCUGAUCGACUUCGCCGGGGCCCGAAAUAUGGUUAUCUGUAGUACUAGAUUCCAGGAUAAGAAGAUUCAUCAAGCUACCUGGCUGUCUCCGGAUCGAAAAACUACCAACCAGAUCGAUCAUGUUGUGAUAGACGGAAGACACGUCUCCAGUGUUUUAGAUGUGCGUGCGCUCCGAGGUCCUAACAUCGACUCGGACCACUAUCUUGUUGCAGCUAAGAUUCGCACCCGCCUCUGUGCAGCAAAAAACGCACGCCAACAAACACAAGGAAGGUUCGACGUCGAGAAGCUGCAGUCACAACAGACAGCCGAACGAUUCUCUACUCGGCUUGCCCUCCUUCUCUCUGAGAGCACUCGUCAACAACUCGGUAUAAGGGAACUGUGAGACGGCAUUUCAAACUCCUUACGUACAGCUGCAACCGAAACCAUUGGUUUUCGGAAAGUGCAAAAAACAGCUGGUACGACGAGGAGUGCCGUGUCGCAGCGGAGAGAAAACAGGCUGCCUACCUCGCAACGUUACGAUCAACCACUACACGUGCGGGAUGGGAUAGAUACCGAGAGUUGAAGAGGGAAGCGAGUCUCAUUUGUGGACAGAAAAAGAAAGAAGCUGAAAUGCGUAAGUACGAAGAGCUUGAUAAGCUGGCCGACAGGGGUAAUGCUCGAAAAUUCUACGAAAAAAUGCGGCGGCUUACAGAAGGUUUCAAGACCGGAGCAUACUCUUGUAGAACCCCUAAAGGUGAUCUAGUCACUGAUGCCCAGAGCAUACUUAAAUUAUGGAGGGAACACUUCUCCAACCUGCUGAAUGGCAGUGAAUGCACAACACCAGGAGAAGGAGAACCCGAUUCCCCAAUCGAUGACGAUGAAGCAGACGUUCCAUUACCCGACCAUGAAGAAGUUCGAAUAGCAAUUGCCCGCCUGAAGAACAACAAAGCGGCAGGGGCCGACGGAUUGCCGGCCGAGCUAUUCAAACACGGCGGCGAAGAACUGAUAAGGAGCAUGCAUCAGCUUCUUUGUAAAAUAUGGUCGGAAGAAAGCAUGUCCAACGAUUGGAAAUUAAGUGUGCUAUGCCCAAUCCAUAAAAAAGUAGACCCCGUAGAGCGUAUUGUGUGAAAGAUUAAAGCCCACCGUCAACAAACUGAUUGGACCUUAUCAGUGUGGCUUCAGACCUGGAAAAUCAACAACCGAUCAGAUAUUCACCAUGCGCCAAAUCUUGGAAAAGACCCGUGAAAGAAGAAUCGACACACACCACCUCUUCGUCGAUUUCAAAGCUGCUUUCGACAGCACGAAAAGGAGCUGCCUUUAUGCCGCGAUGUCUGAAUUUGGUAUCCCCGCAAAACUAAUACGGCUGUGUAAACUGACGUUGAGUAACACGAAAAGCUCCGUCAGGAUCGGGAAGGACCUCUCCGAGCCGUUCGAUACCAAACGAGGUUUCAGACAAGGCGAUUCCCUAUCGUGCGACUUUUUCAACCUGCUUUUGGAGAAAAUAGUUCGAGCUGCAGAACUAAAUAGAGAAGGUCUUUUAUAAGAGUGUACAGCUGCUGGCGUAUGCCGAUGAUAUUGAUAUCAUCGGCCUCAACACCCGCGCCGUUAGUUCUACUUUCUCCAGGAUGGACAAGGAAGCAAAGCAAAUAGGUCUGGCAGUGAACGAGGGCAAAACGAAAUAUCUCCUGUCAUCAAACAAACAGUCGUCGCACUCGCGACUUGGCACUCACGUCACUGUUGACAGUCAUAACUUUGAAGUUGUAGAUAAUUUCGUCUAUUUAGGAACCAGUAUUAACGCCACCAACAACGUCAGCCUGGAAAUCCAACGCAGGAUAACUCUUGCCAACAGGUGCUACUUCGGACUGAGUAGGCAAUUGAGAAGCAAAGUCCUCUCUCGACAAACAAAAACCAAACUCUAUAAGUCACUCAUAAUUCCCGUCCUGCUAUAUGGUGCAGAGUCUUGGACGAUGUCAACAACUGAUGAGUCGACGUUGCGAGUUUUUGAGAGAAAAGUUCUGCGAAAGAUUUAUGGUCCUUUGCGCAUUGGCCACGGCGAAUAUCGCAUUCGAUGGAACGAUGAGCUGUACGAGAUAUACGACGACAUUGACAUAGUUCAGCGAAUUAAAAGACAGCGGCUACGCUGGCUAGGUCAUGUUGUCCGAAUGGACGAAAACACUCCAGCUCUGAAAGUAUUCGACGCUGUACCCGCCGGGGGAAGCAGAGGAAGAGGAAAACCUCCACUCCGUUGGAAGGACCAGGUGGAGAAGGACCUGGCUACGCUUGGAAUAUCCAAUUGGCGCCACGUAGCGAAAAGAAGAAACGACUGGCGCGCUGUUGUUAACUCGGCUAUAAUCGCGUAAGCGGUGUCUACGCCAAUUAAGAAGAAGAAGAACUUCGUGGGAAAAAUUUACCAGUAUAGCAACAAAAUGCCUUGAAAAGGGAGGCAAUAAGAGUAUUAGAAAUCCUCAGGAACUAGAUUCAGAAGUUGAGAAGUUGGAAAAAAUCUUAACAACAACUUUCAAAAAAUCCACUCCGCUAACAGUUUUGGAAAAGAGGAAGUCUCUUCCUUGGUGGUACAGUGAAUUUGAGAACACAACUAAGGAAAGCUUUCAAUGAGAGUUUUAGAACCAAAAUCUGGCAGCCAUGUAAAGAUAUUAUGAAAAGAUACAAAAAAGCAGUCAGGAAAGCUAAAAACGACUCAUGGAGAUCUUUCGAUAGAAAGUUGCAGAGAAACCGCUAGGCUGAGCAAAAUGCUAUCUAAAGAUCAUAUUAAUACCGCCUACAUUGGGGUGGAGGGAAGUGAUUGGAUCUCCUCAGCAAAAGAGUCUCUGGAGGAACUAAUUACAACGCACUUCCCCGGGAGUCAGCAAACACCUAAAACGAGGGUUCAACCAGAACCACCGUUGAACGCAGAUGAUUAUCGAAGCCAAAUAGUAGACAAAAGCAAAAUCAAAUAUACCAUAAAUAGUUUUGCACCAUUUAAAGCAACAGGCCCUGACGGGAUUAUGCCCAUAAUGCUGCAAAAACUGGUAGAACCAGUGGUUCAAAGGCUUGAAAAUAUAUACAAAGCUAGCAUUCAACUAUCUUACAUCCCAAGAAGUUGGAAAAGAAGUAAAGUUGUGUUCCUUCCAAAACCAGGCAGAAGAACACACGAGAAUGCCAAGGAUUUUAGGCCUAUAAGCCUUACCUCUUUUAUGUUGAAGGUACUAGAAAGGCUAAUAGAUUUACACGUAAGAAUAAUAAUGGCGGAGAAGUUAUAGAAGUCCCAACAUGCGUACAUAAAGGGCCGAUCAACCGAAACUGCCGUCCAUGAGGUGAUAAGUGUAAUUGAACAAUCACCACACUACAAGCAAUGCACCAUGGCUGCUUUUCUAGACAUAGAGGGCGCCUUUAAUAACAUAGAAAUAAAUGUUCUAAUUAAUUCGCUGGCACAUGACACUGUGUGCAGAUGGUUACUAUCGAUGCUUGAGAAUAGGAAGAUUAUAGCUUCAAACAGCGCAGCAACACAAACAAGUUAUGUGAGUAGAGGGACGCCUCAAAGAGGGGUCCUAUCUCCGCUUCUAUGGGUUGCAGCGCUGAACGAAAUACUACUCCAACUAAACGGUGGAGGAGUGAAAGCAGUAGCGUAUGCAGACGAUAUAGUGUUGUUGGUAUCAGACAUGUUUCCUUCAACAGUCAGCAAGAUUAUGGAAAGAGCACUUCGAAGGUUAAACCUUUGGGCUAAGAACAAUGGACUGGGACUUAACCCGAACAAAACAGAACUGAUGCUAUUCACAAGCAGAACCAAAAUACCUCAGUUUCCACUUCCGGUACUAAACGGUACAAUACUCACUCUAUCGCACACAGCUAAAUACUUGGGGAUGGAGAUUGACACCAAACUGUCCUGGAAAAUAAAUAUAGAAAAAAGCAUAAACAAAGCAUACAUGGCCUUCUAUACCUGUAAGAGAAUCGUCAACAAGAAUUGGGGCCUCAAACUAAGUAUAAUAAUGUGGAUGUAUACGGCUGUGAUAAGACCUAUACUUACAUAUGGAGCUCUGGUAUGGUGGCCAGCGCUAAACAAACAAUACAACAUUAAAAAAUAAAAUGGAAUACAAAGAGCAGCAUGUGCGGGUGUUACUGGUGCAAUCAGGUCAUGUCCGACUGAUGCGCCCAAUGUGAUCCUGCAUCAACUACCAAUGGACAUUUUUAUUCACAAAACAGCAGCCAUUACGGCGAUAAGAAUAAAAGAAUUGGGAGGUUGGAAUCAGCAAAACUACGGACAUAGUGUAAUCCUAAACAAGCUUACCAUUAGUGUAGAGACCCGCACUAGCGUUGUGCGAGUGUGGGAGACACAACGAUUCAGAGUAACGAACAUGAAUAUGAGUUAGUUGAAUAUUGAGCGUGAACUUAUAAAGUCGUACUAUCAAUGAACUCAAUAAAAUAUCAUAUUUCCAUUUGCAAAGCAUUACCGAGAAUAA